AUCCGGUUGACGAGUCCCAAAUAGAACGGAAUGCGCAUCCUGGAU
rnacentral:hammerhead_ribozyme from 1 species